rnacentral:tRNA from 1 species
GCACUUGUGGCGAAAUUGGUAGACGCGCCAGACUUAGGAUCUGGUGACUUCGGUCGUGUAGGUUCGAGUCCUAUCAGGUGCA